rnacentral:rRNA from 1 species
GACGAACGCUGGCGGCGUGCUUAACACAUGCAAGUCGAACGGAAAGGCCCUGCUUUUGUGGGGUGCUCGAGUGGCGAACGGGUGAGUAACACGUGAGUAACCUGCCCUUGACUUUGGGAUAACUUCAGGAAACUGGGGCUAAUACCGGAUAGGAGCUCCUGCUGCAUGGUGGGGGUUGGAAAGUUUCGGCGGUUGGGGAUGGACUCGCGGCUUAUCAGCUUGUUGGGGGGGUAGUGGCUUACCAAGGCUUUGACGGGUAGCCGGCCUGAGAGGGUGGACGGCCACAUGGGGACUGAGAUACGGACCAGACUCCUACGGGCGGCAGCAGUCGGGAAUAUUGCGCAGUGGGCGGAAGCCUGAUGCAGCAACGCCGCGUGCGGGAUGACGGCCUUCGGGUUGUAAACCGCUUUCGCCUGUGACGAAGCGUGAGUGACGGUAAUGGGUAAAGAAGCACCGGCUAACUACGUG